rnacentral:rRNA from 1 species
GUCGAGCGGUAGAGAGGUGCUUGCAUCUCUUGAGAGCGGCGGACGGGUGAGUAAUGCCUAGGAAUCUGCCUAGUGGUGGGGGAUAACGUUCGGAAACGGACGCUAAUACCGCAUACGUCCUACGGGAGAAAGCGGGGGAUCUUCGGACCUCGCGCCAUUAGAUGAGCCUAGGUCGGAUUAGCUAGUUGGUGAGGUAAUGGCUCACCAAGGCGACGAUCCGUAACUGGUCUGAGAGGAUGAUCAGUCACACUGGAACUGAGACACGGUCCAGACUCCUACGGGAGGCAGCAGUGGGGAAUAUUGGACAAUGGGCGAAAGCCUGAUCCAGCCAUGCCGCGUGUGUGAAGAAGGUCUUCGGAUUGUAAAGCACUUUAAGUUGGGAGGAAGGGUAGUAACCUAAUACGUUGCUACUUUGACGUUACCGACAGAAUAAGCACCGGCUAACUUCGUGCCAGCAGCCGCGGUAAUACGAAGGGUGCAAGCGUUAAUCGGAAUUACUGGGCGUAAAGCGCGCGUAGGUGGUUCAGCAAGUUGGAUGUGAAAGCCCUGGGCUCAACCUGGGAACUGCAUCCAAAACUACUGAGCUAGAGUACGGUAGAGGGUAGUGGAAUUUCCUGUGUAGCGGUGAAAUGCGUAGAUAUAGGAAGGAACACCAGUGGCGAAGGCGACUACCUGGACUGAUACUGACACUGAGGUGCGAA